GGAAACCUGCCUACAAACAACACUUAAGGGUUUAAGAAAGGCCAGAUAGUGGUUGGAGCAUAGGGGUAAAUUUCCAAAUGUUGCAGGUUAAACACCCACCCAUGCACAAUUUUAUGAGAAAACACAGUAGUGGCCCAUGUUAAAAAAAAAUUAAAAAUUAUAAACGCUCCUCGGGACACGAAACGGGGACAUCCCAACUGGAAUCCUGAGCUCGUACUAGUACUACCGACUAACUGGCUCUCGACAAAAUUGUGUUCGGACGUAUUAUACCUUUAAGGUAAACACGUCCCCCCCCAAGUUACCCAUAAACCCUCAGUACUAUAGCAGAUGAGCAGAAACGACAACACGUGAUUUGUACGCCAUUUCAAUUCUUCGCGGGCGUGGAAGCUGGAAAAAUGUAGCUGUCGGCAGGACCGCACAAGUCCAAUGGUUUCCCAGAUGGUCCAUCAGAUGAAGUAAGGUCUCUUCAACCUGCAUGAGACUCUCAGCAGAAGUUAAGAAAGCUGUCAUCAGAACCAGUGUUGCAGACUUCAAGACAGCUCUUAAGCAGAUGAAAGGAGACAAGAUUUGCAUCUUAGUUGAUAAGCAAGAUUGAAGCAAGCGCUGGCCGGCCAGUCAUGCAGCCAGCCAGCCAGCCAUCAGGGAGCCGCAGAACCAGCCAGCCAGCCAGUCUGCCAGCCUGCCAGCCAGAAACAAGUCAGCUAGAUGUGUUCACUAAGGUAGGACUAACCCUUUGUUUCAGCCAUUAGCGCUCAAAUUGAGCCAGUGAACACCCAAGACCCAGGAUCUCAAGACCCAAGUACAGUUUGCAAGUGGAGUCGUUCGAAGGAUUUCUCAGAGUGAGCCAGAGUUUUCUUGUUUCCUU